rnacentral:tRNA from 1 species
GUGCCCAUAGCUCAACUGGAUAGAGCGUCUGACUACGGAUCAGAAGGCUGGGGGUUCAAGUCCUCUUGGGCACGCCA